GAUGAACGCUGGCGGCGUGCUUAACACAUGCAAGUCGAACGAUGAAGCCCAGCUUGCUGGGUGGAUUAGUGGCGAACGGGUGAGUAACACGUGAGUAACCUGCCCUUGACUCUGGGAUAAGCCUGGGAAACUGGGUCUAAUACUGGAUAUGACUUCUCAUCGCAUGGUGGGGGGUGGAAAGAUUUAUUGGUCUUGGAUGGACUCGCGGCCUAUCAGCUUGUUGGUGAGGUAAUGGCUCACCAAGGCGACGACGGGUAGCCGGCCUGAGAGGGUGACCGGCCACACUGGGACUGAGACACGGCACAGACUCCUACGGGAGGCAGAAGUGGGGAAUAUUGCACAAUGGGCGCAAGCCUGAUGCAGCGACGCCGCGUGAGGGAUGACGGCCUUCGGGUUGUAAACCUCUUUCAGUAGGGAAGAAGCGAGAGUGACGGUACCUGCAGAAGGAGCGCCGGCUAACUACGUG
rnacentral:rRNA from 1 species